UACAGAGGUCCCAAGCGUUGUUCGGAUUCACUGGGCGUAAAGGGUGCGUAGGCGGUUUGGUAAGUCUGAUGUGAAAUCUAUGGGCUCAACUCAUAGUCUGCAUCGGAAACUGCCGGGCUUGAGUAUGGGAGAGGUGAGUGGAAUUCCUGGUGUAGCGGUGAAAUGCGUAGAUAUCAGGAGGAACACCUGUGGCGAAAGCGGCUCACUGGACCAUAACUGACGCUGAUGCACGAAAGCUAGGGGAGCAAACAGG
rnacentral:rRNA from 1 species